rnacentral:rRNA from 1 species
AUUGAACGCUGGCGGCAGGCCUAACACAUGCAAGUCGAGCGAGCGGCGGACGGGUGAGUAAUGUAUGGGGACUGCCCGAUAGAGGGGGAUAACUAAUGGAAACGGAGGCUAAAAACGCACACUAGCGGCUAACCCAUAUUGGAUUAGCUAGUAGGUGGGGUAAAGGCUCACCUAGGCGACGAUCUCUAGCUGGUCUGAGAGGAUGAUCAGCCACACUGGGACUGAGACACGGCCCAGACUCCUACGGAGGCAGCAGUGGGGAAUAUUGCACAAUGGGCGCAAGCCUGAUGCAGCCAUGCCGCGUGUGUGAAGAAGGUCUUAGGAUUGUAAAGUACUUUCAGUGGGGAGGCGUUACCCACAGAAUAAGCACCGGCUAACUCCGUGCCAGCAGCCGCGGUAAUUC